rnacentral:ncRNA from 2 species
AUGUUAUAAAGAAAGGCAGAGGGAAUAGACCCAUUGAAGCCUUAGCAACCCUUCGUUCUUAACGAAGAAGGUGCUACAUUCUACCACAUAUUGUGGAAAGAUAACAU